rnacentral:tRNA from 1 species
UCUUCGAUGGUCUAGUGGUCAUGAUUUCCGCUUGUCAGUUUCUAACAAGCGCGGGAGACCGGGGUUCGAUUCCCCGUCGGAGAG